rnacentral:misc_RNA from 1 species
GUAGGUGAACCUGCGGAAGGAUCAUUACUGAGUAAACCCACACCCCGCCCGCCACCCAAGCCCAACAACAACAACAACAACACACAUUUGUUGUUUUGGCUUUUUUUUAAAAUAAUCUCUCCCCCCAAACCAACGUGUUGUUAGGGGGGGGGGAGAAGAUUUGUGCACUGUAGGGAAACCUAAAAAACCGCCUUUGGCAGGGACACCCACACACCUGCCAGAGGUUAAAGUCCAAUCCAACUUUUUCUAAUACUUUUUACAGUCUGAAAUACCACCUGUUAAUAAAAAAACAUACACCACUUUUAACAACGGAUCUCUUGGCUCUU